rnacentral:tRNA from 1 species
GGAGGUGUGGCUCAGUGCCAGAGUGCUUGCCUGGCAUGCAAGAGCCCUGGGAUCCAUCCCCCGCACCACAG